rnacentral:rRNA from 1 species
UACAGGGGGUGCGAGCGUUAAUCGGAAUUACUGGGCGUAAAGCGCGCGUAGGCGGCUUUUCAAGUCGAUUGUGAAAUCCCCGGGCUUAACCUGGGAACUGCAGUCGAGACUGUCUAGCUAGAGUAUGGGAGAGGGAAGUGGAAUUUCAGGUGUAGCGGUGAAAUGCGUAGAUAUCUGGAGGAACACCGGUGGCGAAGGCGGCAUCCUGGACCAACACUGACGCUGAGGAGCGAAAGCCAGGGGAGCAAACGGG